rnacentral:rRNA from 1 species
GACGAACCGUGCGAACGUUAUUCGGAAUCACUGGGCUUAAAGCGCGUGUAGGCGGGAGGGCACGUCCGUUGCUGAAAUCCCCCGGCUCAACCGGGGAACGGGCGCGGAUACGACUCUCCUCGAGGGGCGUAGGGGGGCCUGGAACUUCCGGUGGAGCGGUGAAAUGCGUAGAUAUCGGGAGGAACACCUGUGGCGAAAGCGGCUCACUGGACCACAACUGACGCUGAGGCGCGAAAGCUAGGGGAGCAAACAGG